rnacentral:rRNA from 1 species
CCUACGGGUGGCAGCAGUGGGGAAUAUUGGACAAUGGGGGGAACCCUGAUCCAGCCAUGCCGCGUGUGUGAAGAAGGCCCUCGGGUUGUAAAGCACUUUCAGUGAGGAAGAACGCCUGGUGGUUAAUACCCAUCAGGAAAGACAUCACUCACAGAAGAAGCACCGGCUAACUCCGUGCCAGCAGCCGCGGUAAUACGGAGGGUGCGAGCGUUAAUCGGAAUUACUGGGCGUAAAGCGCGCGUAGGUGGCUUGAUAAGCCGGUUGUGAAAGCCCCGGGCUCAACCUGGGAACGGCAUCCGGAACUGUCAAGCUAGAGUGCAGGAGAGGAAGGUAGAAUUCCCGGUGUAGCGGUGAAAUGCGUAGAGAUCGGGAGGAAUACCAGUGGCGAAGGCGGCCUUCUGGACUGACACUGACACUGAGGUGUGAAAGCGUGGGUAGCAAACAGGAUUAGAUACCCCGGUAGUC